rnacentral:rRNA from 1 species
CGCGCAGGCGGGUUUGUCAGUCAGGGGUGAAAUCCUACAGCUUAACUGUAGAACUGCCUUUGAUACUGCAAACCUUGAGUUCGGAAGAGAGAGGCGGAAUUCCAGGUGUAGUGGUGAAAUACGUAGAUAUCUGGAAGAACACCAGAGGCGAAGGCGGUCUCUUGGUCCGUAACUGACGCUGAGGCGCGAAAGCGUGGGGAGGCAAACA